rnacentral:ncRNA from 2 species
CCGCGUUAGGGAUAGCAGCGGCAUCCUUUUUAAAAGGAGACUGAGGAACUCGAAGUCACCGUUUAAAAAGAUAGAGCGCAUAGCCCGACCUGAA